rnacentral:misc_RNA from 1 species
UGGUUCUGGCAUCGAUGAAGAACGCAGCGAAAUGCGAUAAGUAAUGUGAAUUGCAGAAUUCAGUGAAUCAUCGAAUCUUUGAACGCACAUUGCGCCCGCCGGUAUUCCGGCGGGCAUGCCUGUUCGAGCGUCAUUUCACCACUCAAGCCCAGCUUGGUGUUGGGGCACCCGGCCGCCCGGCGGUCGGGGCCCCCAAGUACAUCGGCGGUCCCGCUGGGACCUGAGCGCAGUAACUCGCGGUAAAACGCGCCUCGCUCGGGAGUCUCCAGCUGGCUUCCAGCCGCUAAACCCCCUAAUAUUCUUAGGUUGACCUCGGAUCAGGUAGGAAUACCCGCUGA